GACGAACGCUGGCGGCGUGCUUAACACAUGCAAGUCGAGCGAGGCCCUCCUUCGGGGGGUGCCCUAGCGGCGAACGGGUGAGUAACACGUGGGCAACCUGCCCUCAGCUCUGGGAUAACUCCAAGAAAUUGGUGCUAAUACCGGAUGUGACCGCUGACCGCAUGGUCUGGUGGUGGAAAGAUUCAUCGGCUGAGGAUGGGCCCGCGGCCUAUCAGCUUGUUGGCGAGGUAACGGCUCACCAAGGCGACGACGGGUAGCUGGUCUGAGAGGACGACCAGCCACACUGGAACUGAGAUACGGUCCAGACUCCUACGGGAGGCAGCAGUGGGGAAUAUUGCACAAUGGGCGAAGGCCUGAUGCAGCGACGCCGCGUGAGGGAUGAAGGCCUUCGGGUUGUAAACCUCUUUCGGCAGGGACGAAGCGAUCAGUGACGGUACCUGCAGAAGAAGCCCCGGCUAACUACGUGC
rnacentral:rRNA from 1 species